rnacentral:rRNA from 1 species
GUGGGGAAUUUUGGACAAUGGGGGCAACCCUGAUCCAGCAAUGCCGCGUGCAGGAAGAAGGCCUUCGGGUUGUAAACUGCUUUUGUACGGAACGAAACGGUCCUGGUUAAUACCUGGGGCUAAUGACGGUACCGUAAGAAUAAGUACCGGCUAACUACGUGCCAGCAGCCGCGGUAAUACGUAGGGUGCAAGCGUUAAUCGGAAUUACUGGGCGUAAAGCGUGCGCAGGCGGUUUUGUAAGACAGGCGUGAAAUCCCCGGGCUCAACCUGGGAAUGGCGCUUGUGACUGCAAGGCUGGAGUGCGGCAGAGGGGGAUGGAAUUCCGCGUGUAGCAGUGAAAUGCGUAGAUAUGCGGAGGAACACCGAUGGCGAAGGCAAUCCCCUGGGCCUGCACUGACGCUCAUGCACGAAAGCGUGGGGAGCAAACAGGAUUAGAUACCCCAGUAGUCC